AUGGGAGUUCAGACAAUGUCGUCCCUCGGCAGCGGCGGCGGCGGGGGCGGCGGGGGAGGGGCCCUGGCGCGGCAGGGGUCCCUGUACGGCCUCACGCUCAACGAGGUGGAGAGCCACCUGGGCGAGCCGCUGUGGAGCAUGAACCUGGAGGACCCCCUGCGCACGGUGCUCCCCGCCGCCGCCGCCGACGCUGAGCCGCGCGGCGCCGGGACGGGAAAGAAGACGGUGGACGAGGUGUGGCGCGACAUCGAGAGCGCCGGCCGCGGCCGCCAGCCGACGGUGGGCGAGAUGACGCUGGAGGACUUCCUCUCGCGCGCCGGCGUGCCCGUCGCCGGGGGCUGCGCCGGCGCGCAUUGGCCCCUCAGGCGUCGGCGCCGGCCCCGUGCUGGACGCCGUGUACGAGGGCGGCGCUAG
rnacentral:rRNA from 1 species